GGGGGGGGGGGGGGGGGGGCAGCCACAGUUCUGCUGCUCCUGGGGGCCGGCAUUGUCUGGAAGAUAAUUUCCAAGCAGAAGGAAGGCUAUUAUCAUACGUAUGAAAACUAUAAUUACAGAACCCCCCUGACCCCAGCAACUGAACACAAAGGCUCGUGUCUGCCAUAGGAGGCUGGGCACCCGUGCUGCUGCAGACCAGGCACCCGCAGCGAGGAAGGGCUGCUCGUGUGGAGACUGGAAUUCUGUGGCCAAAAAAAAGGACAUUUUACUGUAAAUCCUGAACGCUUUUCUGCUCUCAGUAGUUCCUGUAAGGAUCUCAGAUUGCACACAGUGUGGGCGUUGCCUUGGAGGGAAUUCUCCGUGCUGCUCCUGAUGAAGAAUAUUUCCUUUAUCCUCCCAAAAAACGGAUAACCAAGUGGAUAACCCCAAGCUUUGGCAGGGAGACACAAUGAAUAAUGCACUGGCCAUGACCCCCAUUCCCUGUCUCACUGCCCACCAAAACAUACCUGCACAAGAGUGGGAGUAACCACGUGUUAAUUAAUGUCUUAAUUACAGCUGCAUUUACAUCUUUAUUUCCUUCCAGCAACGCUAAUGUGCAGUGCUCCUCUACCAAUGCUUAACCUAAUAAAAGCUGAUGAUGACAAUUCCGUGUCUUCUUUUAGGUCUACCUAGACUCUUAA